AUUUAUUUUGCUUUAUGUAAUUUUUUGAGACAGGGUCUGGCUUUAUUGCCCAGGCUGGAGUGCAGUGGCGUGAUCUCAGCUCACUGCAACCUCUGCCUUGCAGGUUCAAAGGAUUCUCCUGCCUCAGCCUCCUGAGUACCUGGGAUUACAGGCAUGCACCACUAUGCCCGGCUAAUUUUUGUAUUUUUUAUAGAGUUGGGGUUUCGCCAUGUUGACCAGGCUGGUUUUGAACGCCUGGCCUCAAGCAAUUCACUGGCCUUGGCAUCCCAAAGUACUGGAAUUACACCUGGCCAAGCCCCUUCUAUUUAAAAAUGGAAAUAAAAGAAAAAAAAAAACAGAUCAAAACCAAAAGUUAUAGUGAGAGUGGACAAGCCCUGGACAACAGCAGGCAUGAGGACUUACAGCCCACAUGCUCAGCCACCAGGUGCAAUCUCCAACAUGUGCGGGCCUUGGAAAACACAAUCGGGCACUCUCUCCUGCCCAUGGAUCUUGCUUGGGAAAGGAAUGGGGCAAGUGGAAAUGGCCAUUUCUUAGAUGAACACAUCAGGGACUUGCUCCAGUCUGAAGUCUAUACAGAGCUAGGCUUUGAAACCAGUCACGUAACUCAGGUGUGUGUUCAGAGCUUGACGGAUUACCACCAGGCUGGGCCAACAGGGUCGUUUUCAAGUCAGCUAGCCCUAAAAGGGCAAAAAAUUGUUGCAAUGCUCCCAGAUGUAACUCUGACCUGGUAUGGUUCAGGGACGAGGCCACUCACACACACUUGGGCAACUGCUCUUCUCGUGACCAGCUUCUUUCUGUGGGAAUCACUCCAUGGAGCCACCGUCUCUCCUAAGCUACAAUGUUCUACAAUGGUGCAAGUGGGGGAAAAAAUUUCAACAAAAUUUUGGAUAUCAGCUGCUUUAUGAAGGCAUGAUUUAUAAUGAUUUAUUAUAAAAUGAUGGUGUUUUAAUGCUCUUUUUAUUGGUUUUCUAACAGUCG
rnacentral:lncRNA from 1 species